GUAAAAAUAUGGUGUUAAAUCUUAUUGGACCUCGAACAUAUAUGCAGUCUGUCCUUGACCGAAAUAUCAUUAUGUGGCACAUGACUGUAUUUUUACCUCCCCAUCUUACAGAUGAGCAGACUGAGCCUCAGAGAAGUGAUCUGACUUGUCCAAGGCUGGUUUGUAAGUGGCAUGGUCUGGAUUUGGCCGUAGGCUAUUUCAGCAAUCUCAGCCACCACUCCAUCCUGCUCCUCAGGUGCGUGCCUUCCUCCUUGCCACGAACCUCUGUGACUCCUACAAGCUGCCAGGUGUUAACCUGGUCAGUCCUGGGGACACCAGGAACAACACCAGCUCCUGCCUCUGGGCAGCCCCACUGGGUCCGUGGCACAGACAACCAUAGACUCUGCCUGGAAAAGCUGCUUCAUGGAGAAGGUGACACCUGAGCCAGGGCCAACAGGUGCACACCCCAGCCCUGAGAAGUGGAAAUCUUACCUCCCGACAGAGAGAUAGGAAAGCAGAGCCCCGACACGAGGGCAGUGGAGGGCUCCCGGCCAUGGAGCCCAGCGUAUCUGACAAAACCCACGUAACCUUCGAGACAGUGAGUCACAAGGAAUAGAAUUCUGCCCUAUGUCAGGUAUUGGAGGUCCCCAUCCUGGCCUCCUCAAAGCACACACUUCUGGAGGCAGCCAUCUUGCCCCGAGAGGCAGUUUUCCUAGAAGGCAAGAUCCCC
rnacentral:lncRNA from 1 species